rnacentral:rRNA from 1 species
GACGAACCGUCCUAACGUUAUUCGGAAUCACUGGGCUUAAAGGGCGCGUAGGCGGAUGAGCAAGUCCGGAGUGAAAUCUCCGGGCUUAACUCGGAAAGGUCAACUGAUACUGCGCGGCUAGAGUGCAGAAGGGGCAACUGGAAUUCUCGGUGUAGCGGUGAAAUGCGUAGAUAUCGAGAGGAACACCUGCGGCGAAGGCGGGUUGCUGGGCUGACACUGACGCUGAUGCGCGAAAGCCAGGGGAGCGAACGGG